rnacentral:lncRNA from 1 species
AAAACGACUCCGACUUGUCCCGACACUCUCCAAAUGUGUCGACAAGCCUCAAAUGCUGAAAUCACACGGGCAACCAAACACUAGAGAUACUACAUUUAAAUUAUAAAAUUUUAAUAUUUAAAAAUAUAAAUUUAAAUUAAAAUUUCAAACUUUAAAUUUAAAAUUUAAAAUUUAAAAUUUAAAAUUUAAAAUUUAAAAUCUAAAUUUAAAUUUUGAAAUUUAAAAAUUAAAAAUUAAAAUUAAAAUUAAAAAUAUUAAUAAUUCUAAAGUUUAAAAAAUAAAAAAUUAAUAUUUAAAAAUAUAUUUAAAUUUUAAAUUUCAAAGUUUAAAUUUAAAAUUUAAAAUUUAAAAUUUAAAAUUUAAAAUAA